rnacentral:rRNA from 1 species
AUUGAACGCUGGCGGCAGGCCUAACACAUGCAAGUCGAGCGGAUGAAGGGAGCUUGCUCCUGGAUUCAGCGGCGGACGGGUGAGUAAUGCCUAGGAAUCUGCCUGGUAGUGGGGGAUAACGUCCGGAAACGGGCGCUAAUACCGCAUACGUCCUGAGGGAGAAAGUGGGGGAUCUUCGGACCUCACGCUAUCAGAUGAGCCUAGGUCGGAUUAGCUAGUUGGUGGGGUAAAGGCCUACCAAGGCGACGAUCCGUAACUGGUCUGAGAGGAGGAUCAGUCACACUGGAACUGAGACACGGUCCAGACUCCUACGGGAGGCAGCAGUGGGGAAUAUUGGACAAUGGGCGAAAGCCUGAUCCAGCCAUGCCGCGUGUGUGAAGAAGGUCUUCGGAGUGUAAAGCACUUUAAGUUUGGAGGAAGGGCAGUAAGUUAAUACCUUGCUGUUUUGACGUUACCAACAGAAUAAGCACCGGCUAACUUCGUG